AUUGCUUCUCACCCUUUUGGCUAAGAUCAAGUGUAGUAUCUGUUCUUAUCAGUUUAAUAUUCAAAAAUAUCAUUAUAGUUGAAUUCUCAUUCCUGUGCCUCGUGUAUGUAUCUAUGACAAGGCUUGCAUGCCUGUUUAAAGCUGAAUUUUG
ensembl:snRNA Gm22451 predicted gene, 22451